CGACCGCNUGGGGAGUACGGCCGCAAGGUUAAAACUCAAAUGAAUUGACGGGGGCCCGCACAAGCGGUGGAGCAUGUGGUUUAAUUCGAUGCAACGCGAAGAACCUUACCUACUCUUGACAUCCAGAGAACUUAGCAGAGAUGCUUUGGUGCCUUCGGGAACUCUGAGACAGGUGCUGCAUGGCUGUCGUCAGCUCGUGUUGUGAAAUGUUGGGUUAAGUCCCGCAACGAGCGCAACCCUUAUCCUUUGUUGCCAGCGAUUCGGUCGGGAACUCAAAGGAGACUGCCGGUGAUAAACCGGGGGAAGGUGGGGAUGACGUCAAGUCAUCAUGGCCCUUACGAGUAGGGCUACACACGUGCUACAAUGGCGUAUACAAAGAGAAGCGACCUCGCGAGAGCAAGCGGAACUCAUAAAGUACGUCGUAGUCCGGAUUGGAGUCUGCAACUCGACUCCAUGAAGUCGGAAUCGCUAGUAAUCGUAGAUCAGAAUGCUACGGUGAAUACGUUCCCGGGCCUUGUACACACCGCCCGUCACACCAUGGGAGUGGGUUGCAAAAGAAGUAGGUAGCUUAACCUUCGGGAGGGCGCUUACCACUUUGUGAUUCAUGACUGGGGUG
rnacentral:rRNA from 1 species